GAGAUGGUUGGGGGAAGUUUUGUGAAGCCUUAACUUGUAGUAAUUAUCCAAAGUAAGAAAGCCAUGUGGUUUGGGUUUUGUCCAUCUAGGUCUUCCUAUAUGAAGACACAGAUUUUAAAACAUUUU